rnacentral:rRNA from 1 species
GCAAGUCGAGCGCAGUCCUUCGGGACCGAGCGGAGGACGGGUUAGUAACGCGUGGGAAUGUACCCUUCUCUAAGGAAUAGCCUCGGGAAACUGAGAGUAAUACCUUAUACGCCCUUCGGGGGAAAGAUUUAUCGGAGAAGGAUCAGCCCGCGUUAGAUUAGAUAGUUGGUGGGGUAACGGCCUACCAAGUCGACGAUCAGUAGCUGGUUUGAGAGGAUGAUC